rnacentral:misc_RNA from 1 species
AAGUCGUAACAAGGUUUCCGUAGGUGAACCUGCGGAAGGAUCAUUACAACGUAUCCACGUAUAAACCUUUGUGAACUGUUUGUCAACCGCACGGUGAGGUCUAUCGAAAAGCGCAAGCGACCGGAAAAUAGCUUGCGCCCGCCUUUUCUCUAACGAAAGGGGGAUACCACAUUGUGUUUCCGUUUUUUCUUAUUAACCACAUGUACCCCUAACAAAUGUACACAUUUCAAGCGACGUUGACGAAAGUCACAACUGCUUGUAAAUUUCUAAUAAGAAAUUCUACGCACAACUCUUAGCAACGGAUAUCUAGGCUCUC